CUGGAGGCUGCAGAACAGUGCAGCCGGUGCCCCACCGGGGGCUGCAGGGAACCCUGUGCAGCAGGAAGCCCCGCUGGCCUGGGAGCACAUGAAGGCGGCUUCAGCCGGGCGUCCGGCCGGGCUCCAGGUCGGGUGCAGAGGCGGAAGCUGUGCUCUUCCUGCUGGACAGAGCCCGAGCCCGAGCCCUUCCUCCAGCUCCUCACACGACGCUGAACAUGCUAAGAAGCUGCUGCUGGUUUUAAAAGCAGAGACACUUGUCGCGAUAGGCUGGCACCCCAAUGUUUGCUCACACAGGCAGCACAAUCCCACGCUGUACCUCAGCUUGUGCCUUGUCAGCUCUGAGCUGGGAGGGGAGAGGAGAAAGGAGGAAGCCUCCUGACCUCGGAGCCUCCAGUCAGGACUGGCUGGCUCUGCUCCGUAUGCCGAAAGCCCUGGGAAUUUUUCACUGCUCUCGGGAUGGCGUCUGGGGCGUGGGCAGGUUGGUCCCGCUUUGAACGCUCUGCUGGACUUACGGAGCUGCUCUUAGUGCUGGGCAGUGAACGCCAAGCUGUCGUGUCCACACGGCCAGGGGAACGCCAGGGCCAAGGCCAGCAUGCGCUGAGCUUCUGCCCAGCCUGGAGUCGCCUUCACCAGGCCAUGAGCACGUGAGGCACUUUCUAAGCACUGGUUGCCCGGGAGGCGCAACUGCUCAGACGCCGAGGCAGCUCAAAGGGCUCCGACGUGCGGUGGCUCCACGGGGUCAGCGUGCCCAGAGUAAUGGGUGUCACUAGAGCACCUGGCCCAGCACACGCUUUCUGAGGACACCUGGUGGGCGCGCCCCACAGCAGGCCCCAAAGUUUCAGAGUAGGUCCUGUGGAGUACUUGCUGCCUGGGGGAGGCCCUUCCUCAGGGAGUGUCCAGCAGAGGGAAGAGCAGACCACGCUCUGGAAGGUCCAAGCCGAUCAUGCACGAGUCAACAGUGCUCCCACUGCCGGGCCAGCCCCUCUUCCCCACCCGAGGCCACCACUCUGCUGAAAUGAAGGUUCUUGAAUAGCAAGAAGGAAGGCAGAAGUUGGACACUGGAUCCUUCUGGGUUGUGGAUGUGGAUGAGCUAGCUGUGGGCCCCUUUCCCUCUCCCUGUCCUACUUCUGCUGUGCCAGCCCCACAGCUGCUCAGUCCCCUCCCUGGUGGUGGGUACUGUCCCGGGACAGCCAGUUGGUCCUCUCCUUCCCGUUGGCAAUUCUGGCUUUCCGGCAUUCCACACCACCGGCCCAGCCCCUGGGGCUUGGCGGAGGCAGUGUUCCUGCUAGCUCUUCUCUUUGGGCGGAGGAGCCCCAGCACCGCAGGAGAUGGGAGGCAGUGCAGAGACUCGCCUGAGUGCUGAGGGUGGCGGGGCCUGUCUCUGUCCCCUCUCGGGGACCUGUCCCUCUCCUGGACCACGGAUAUUGAUCUGAGGCAAACAUCUAAUUCCCACUUCCCCAGAACAUCCCCCAACUGAACAAAAAUCAGUGACACUUCAGGAAAGAAAAGGUGGUAUUUAGUGGCGGUCCCCACACUGCCCCUCCCAGGACUGUUUUCUAAGCCCACGUGAGAUCUCUCCUGAUCCCUUUGAGGUCUUAAUACAAGAGCCGGGCCUACGGGUGGGAGAGUCUGGAUUCUGUCCUGGCCUUGCCAUGCUUCCUGGCUUCAUGACCUUGUUCAAGUCACUUAAACCUCUGUCUGGCUUUUACAACCAUCAAACCAUCUACCCUCCAGGUGCUCCACAAGGACUGACUCCACCCCGGGCACUGUGUCGGCACUGGAAACAUGAAACCCGAGCUGGGAGCCAGACAGGGGUUCUUCCUGAGAGCCUGGGAAGCCGCCUGCCCUCGUGGAAUUUACGGUCUAAGGAGUGAUGCACGUGAGGCACUUUGAAAGAUGUGAAGGACUGUGUGUAAAACAUGUGCCAAUUUCUCGCUUCGCAGAAGGAAUUUCCACUGCUUUCUCAGUUAAGUGUCAAGAACCUCCAAAAGAGAUGGUUCAAGAGAGCUAUAUUAUUGAAUCAGAUUAUGUUCUUUACACAUUUUAGCAUAGCUCACAAAACCAUAUGAAUGUUUCUGUUUUGAAUAUUCUCUUCCUAAAUGUUUUACAUCCUGUGGGGAGGGGCUUGGAUUCUGAUUCUGUGUUUAAAUCCUACAAGCAGGCCGGGUGCGUAGCUCACACCUAUAAUCCCUGCACUUUGGGAGGCUGAGGCGGGCAGAUCAUGAGGUCAGGAGUUUGAGACCAGCCUGACCAACAUAGUGAAACCCCGUCUCUAUUGAAAAUACGAAAAUUAGCCGGGUGUGGUGGUGGGUGCCUGUAGUUCCAGCUACUCGGGAGGCUGAGGCAGGAGAAUUGCUUGAACCAGAGAGUUGGAGAUUGCAGUGCCGCUGCACUCCAGCCUGGGCAACAGAGCGAGACUCCCUCUCAAACAAAAUAAAACAAAAAACAUCCUACAAGUGUCAAGCAUGGUGGUGCACACCUGUAGUCCCAGCUACUCUGGAGGCUGAGGUGGGAGGAUCACUUGAGCCCAGUUCAAGACCAGCCUAGGCAACAUAGUGAGACCCUGUCUCUAAAAAUAAAAUUAAAAAGGCGGCCGGGUGCAGUUGCUCACGCCUGUAAUCCCAGCAAUUUGGGAGGCAGAGGCAGGUGGAUCAUGAGGUCAGGAGAUCGAGACCAUCCUGGCCAACAUGGUGAAACCCAGUCUCUACUAAAAAUACAAAAAUUAGCUGGGUGUGGUGGUGCAUGCCUGUAAUCCCAGCUACUCGGGAGGCUGAGGCAGGAGAAUCGCUUGAACCUGGGAGGCUGAGGUUGCAGUGAGCCAAGAUCAUGCCACUGCACUCCAGCCUGGGUGACAGGGCAAGACUCUGUCUCCAAAAAUAAAAAAAUAAAAAAAAAUAAACAAAUAAAAAUAAAAAGCCAAGUAUGGUGGCUCACACCUGUAAUCCCAGCACUUUGGGAGGCGGAAGCCGGCAGAUUGCUUGAGCUCAGAGGUUCAAGACCAGCCUGGGCAACAUGGUGAAUUACUGUCUCUACAAAAAAAAAAAUUAAAAAGUAGCUGGGUGUGGUGGCAUGGGCCUGUAGUCCUAGCUACUUGGGAGACUGAGGUGGAAGAAUCGCUGGAGCCUGGGAGGCGGAGGCUGCAGUGAGCCGAGACUGAGCCACCACACUCCAGCCUGAGUGACAGAGCAAGACCCCAUCUUUGAAAAAUAAAAAAUAAAAUAAAAAUAAAAAAUAAACAACCCUA